UAGGGAAUCUUCCGCAAUGGACGCAAGUCUGACGGAGCAACGCCGCGUGAGUGAAGAAGGAUUUCGGUUCGUAAAACUCUGUUGUUAGAGAAGAACAGCGCAUAGAGUAACUGUUAUGCGUGUGACGGUAUCUAACCAGAAAGCCACGGCUAACUACGUGCCAGCAGCCGCGGUAAUACGUAGGUGGCAAGCGUUGUCCGGAUUUAUUGGGCGUAAAGCGAGCGCAGGCGGUCAAUUAAGUCUGAUGUGAAAGCCCCCGGCUCAACCGGGGAGGGUCAUUGGAAACUGGUUGACUUGAGUGCAGAAGAGGAGAGUGGAAUUCCAUGUGUAGCGGUGAAAUGCGUAGAGAUAUGGAGGAACACCAGUGGCGAAGGCGACUUUCUGGUCUGUAACUGACGCUGAUGUGCGAAAGCGUGGGGAUCAAACAGG
rnacentral:rRNA from 1 species